AGAUUUGAUCAAGUCUAUAGAAUCUCAUACUAAACCUGAGGAGGUUAUUGGUCUACUUGAAGCUGGAGCUGAUCCUAAUGCUACUGAGUAUCCAACUGGUGGCUCUCCUGCUCUUAUUAGAGCCAUUGAAAAAGAUAAUACUGAUAUUGUUAAAUUGUUACUGGAAAAAGAGCUGAUCCUAUUGCUACUAAGUAUUCUGGUGGUCCUGCUGCUCUUUUUAUAGCCACCGAAAAGAAUAACAUUGAAAUUGUUGAUUUGCUACUCAAAAAAGGAGCUGAUCCUAAUGCUACUAAGUAUUCUGGUGGUCCUACUGCUCUUAUUACAGCCAUUGAGAAGAAUAACAUCGAAAUUGUUGAAUUGCUACUCA